rnacentral:lncRNA from 1 species
AAUAAAAGUAAUAAAAAUCUCAAAUAUUCCAUUUAUUUAUUACCCUGUCAUCAAAUUCAAGUUUAUCUUUGGGGCUGAGAAAUAGAAUUUAUGAAACAUCUUAAUAUUAAGAUUAUCCUACUUCAACAAAGAUUGAAAGAAAUAUGAUUUAAAUGAUUAUCAUGUUGAAAACAAGACUAAAGUGAUUCUUUUAUCUGUUAAUUAACCAGAGAUCACCAUUGGCAGAAGUAGUCAAUUGUUCAGAAAUCUGGAUUUGAUUUAUCUUCUAAUUUUUUCCUUACAAUUGUAGAAAAAAGAGUUUUUCAUUGGGGGUGGGGAUUCUUUCCUGUCUUUUCCUCCCUUGUCAGUUUUAGUUAUCUGUUUCCUUAUCUGUAAAAUGUGGAUAAUAAUACUAUCGACUUCAUAGGACUGAUAUGAGAACUAAAUCAGUCGAUACAUAAAAAUACAGUGAUUAUGGAAUUCCUGCUGUGGUGCAAGGGAUCGCCAGCGUCUUGGGAGCACUGGGGCUUGGGUUCAAUCCCUUGCCUGGCACAGUGGGUUAUGGAUCCAGCAUUGCUGCAGGUGCGGCUUAGGUUGAGAUUGAGGCUUGGAUCUGAUCCCUGGUUUGGGAGCUCCAUCUGCUUCAAGGCAGCCAAACAAACAAACAAACACAAAAAAAUAACCCACAGUCAUUAGAGCAGUGCCCUGCCAAUGAUAAGCACUGUAAGUCUUUAUUAUGCUGCCGUGCUGCUGUGUUAUUUUAUAUUCCCCAAACUUAUCCAUGCAAAAAUUGUGAUUAGUGAAUAGAGUAUAUGAGCGCAAAUUUGGUUUUCAGCUUUAUCUGAAGCAGGAUGAUAGUUAAAGCCAUGAGACUAGGUGAGUUCACCCAGGAAAGGGGCUUAGAGUGAACAGAGAGAAGUUAUUUCAGGCAGACCCCUAAGAGAUGCUAACAUGGGCAGAGGAUAGGAAAGCCUGCAAAGAUGGUCAGGAAGAAGUGACUGGAGGUUUAGCAAGACAGCCAGAGAAGGAAGGUCAGAAGAGUUUGGGGGUCAGAAAGACAAAAGAGGGGAUGAGCACCUGUUGCUGCACAUUCAAGAGCGGUGAGGAUUAAGAUGGUUUCUGGAUUUAGCCACUAGGUGUUUCAGGAAUUUAGUGAGAGUAGUUUUAAUGUGGUGGUGUGGGAGUCAGAAGCCAGAUUACAGUGGGUUAAGGAGCUGAUGGGAGAAAGUACAUAUAUUUCAAAAACAAAACAAUCCAAUAAGUUCGACUACGGUUAGGAGGGGCAGGACACGACAGUAGUUUUUUGUAGUUAUUUGCAGAGAUAAGAUACUGCAGACAGUAUCUUUAUUGGAUAAUAAAGGCCAUGAAGAAGGCAUGUACAAAUACUCAGGGGUCCCUGGCGAAGGGCAUUAGUGCACAUGUGGUGUUCUGGGGAGGAUUCCUCGAAGGAGUACCACUCAGGCGCAGAGUCAUCAGUUGAAUCGGAGUUGGUGGGAUGACAGACAAGGGAGGAGGAUAUUUUAGGUUUGGAGAAAGGCAUGGGUUUAUGAAUCAUUGGAGUAUAUGUUGGAGGAAUUACAGUGUUUUAGUAGUCAUCACUAGAGCAUAAAGAGUAAGUUCAGUAGGUCCAGAAGCCUGGAAAGGUGGGCAGAGCUGAGAGGGUGGUGGGGUGGGCCUUAGAAUCUUGAAGUUUAGCUUCUAGGUUCUUACUUCCCCGCUGGGGAUGUGCUAGGGUUACUGAAAGCUAUAGGAUCAAUGGGUACACUUCCUUGGGGUAUCUAUUUAACUGAAAUUAAGGGGAAAUUAUCGCUGUAUUAAAACAUGAUUAUAUUGUAAUACAGGAUUUAAAAUCCAAGAUAACAUAGAACUUAAACAUUUUGAAUACAUAAAACAUUUUGCCCUAGUGGCUGGCUUCUUCGGCCUUUGCUUCUUUAGACCCUCCGUCCCCCACCCCCAAUCACUUUCUUCAGGUAAAAGAGUUUAAAGAGCAUCCGUCUAGGUCAUGGGGAAUCAUUGAGGAAUUAUAGGCAGGAGGUGAUGACAUCUGUAUUUAGUGGAGAUCAGCCUAGAGGAGGUUUCAGACUCCUCUGUCACACAGCCAAGGGUCACCAUUCACCUAGAAUAGGAUGUGAAAUACCGUAAGUAGAUAAGAACAGGGCAAGAGGGCGGGGUAGGGCAGGGAGACUUAUAAGGUGGCUGCUGAGACGAGCUAGUGGCCUCUGCAGUGGGCUUGGGGAAGAAGGAAUGAAAAGUGGUAUUUGAGGAGAUAGAAUCAGUGAGGCUAGUGUGGAGAAGAGGUGGGCGGGUGAUGCGAUGGAAGCACCUAAGUCUACGCUCAGGUUUCUGGCUUCGCAUCAGGGCACCCUUCCUAGUACUGGGAAUAGAGGAAGAACAGUCUGGAGUAUGGGAGGGGAUAAACUUGGUGGUCCUAAAUUGGAGAGGUCUUUGUGCCAUGCCGCUGGAGCCCCGUAGCGGGCAGGUGGCCGUGUGUGUGCCACCUUCCAGAAGGCCUGUCCUGAUGAUACACCUUCAGUAUUCCUGAGUGGCCGUCACUGGCAGUGGGAGCCGCGAGCAUGACUGAGGUGGUCUGAGGGGAGCACAGGGACUGAGAAGGAGCUAAACAUAGAGCCGGGAGGGAGCACUGCCAUCUGGGGGUGAGGCUGAAGGAAAGGAACUUGAGGAGAAGGGGUCAGAGGUAUGUGCGGAGGAACACAGACGGGAAGAAGAGCGACGUGAUGGGGAAUUUCAAGAAGCGCCGAUUGCUACAGAGAGUUUUAAGAGUGGACUGGGAAAUGCCAUCACGAUUUACGAGUGGAGGAGGUCCCUGCGGGUGACCUUGGCCGGAGCUGUUUCAGUGAUGGGGGCGGGGACUGCAAACCUGGCCCGAGAGGUUUGGGCAUCCAAGGAGGAGGGGAAGCCGAAGUAGAGGCGGGCAGCGGGCACCGCUGUUGUGAGCCUGGCUGGGUGAGGUGGGGGAGAGAACAGUGGGAAUCCCAGGGUGCUUAGAGCUUUACUGCCUCUUUCUCCCUCUUCCACUGGAAAGAAAGUUGCACAAGGCAACUUUCUUUGUUUUAUUCCCUGCUUUAUCUCCAGGGUAGAAGAGAACUCCUGGCACCCAGUAGGUGCUCCAUGCAUAUUUAAUGGCUGAAUGAUGAGUUAUGUGAAGAGACUUGAGCAAGUUCAUUUGCGGGGUGGAAGGGUGAGAGGUCUUGGAGAGGAGGGCUGGAAGGUCUAGAGGAGAAAGGAUGUCAUGGAACAGUCUCCAUGAGUCAGGAGACUGCGAUUCCAAGCCCCUCUGGGAGUGAUUAUCGAGGAUACUCCUUUUCUGCCGAAACUGAAGCAAAGGAAGACAGGAUGGGAGCAGAGGCAUGUAUUUACCGGUGGUGGAGGAGGAAGUUGAGGGAGUUCUCCCCUCAUGGCUUGAUGUGUAUUCCCUGAGCUAAAAAUAAACUAAGAAUGAGUAUUGUGUGUAUCCUUGGAAACCAGUUUUGAAGACAUACAAAAAAGCCACCCCUAUUUAAGCAGCUCUGCCUACAGAGAGUCAUAGACAGGUAAUUGUGGGCACACAAGGUUGUGGUCAAUGGCAUGAGAGGUAGAUGAGGUAAGGAUGCGCCGUGGGGAUGAGUAAGUAGGUGAGACAGGAGGUCUCUAGUCUCAAACGGGAAUGCAGGGUGUGGCCAGGAGGAGGGAUCCGUCCACGCACCCUGUGUGCGCCCGUUGCCUUCUGUCCUGGGAACCCUCUGCCGGCAGGAGACUGUCCUUGGAUCCUGGGGAAGUGAGGGGAGAGCCAGUGCAGGAGGCUCACGUUCCUCUUUGAGAUAAAAAUGAACAGAAGCCUGAGCCUUGAGUGCAGUAGAGUCACUCAUUGUUAGGCAGCUCCUCUGGUUCUAACCAGGCUGGUUUUCCAGUGAUUUAUUUCUGAUUCAUUUGACAGGAAACUGCUUUCCCAGCUUUUGACAAACCUGUUAUCUGAAAUGAUUUGUCUGUUUAAAAGCAGAGGUGGUAGCGAGAAAGGAUGUGACAGUGUCGCAGUGAGUCAUAAAAAACGAGACAUGACCGUGUUUGUUCAGCUCAUCGGGCUUUAUCUAAAGUUAAUUUAAAGAAUAUCAAAAUGUCCACUUUGUUUUAAUUAGGAAUUGUUUAGUAAUAAGGUCUCACUUGUUCAGAAUUCUCUGUUUUCAGUCUAAUUGAGUUCAAGGCUACUCACUUCUCAGGAGCUUUCUGAAAGGGACAGUAGAGGAGUAAGGAUGGGUCUUUUAGUCUUCUAGACUUCCGUUGAAAUUAAAUAACACAGCAAAGCCGAUUUUUUUUCUUUUGCUGUUAACCUUACUGCCUUUAUUGCAAAUCAGUCUCUGACAGUAAAGCGGUACGAGGCAAGGCAGGAUUGGACUUGAGUCCUGGUAACUUCUGUUUUUUGCAUUUCUCAUGUGUUAAAAGCAUGUUCCCUAUAAAAUGAGGAGAGGCUCUUUUAGAAAGGGAUCACAUUCUAAGAGUAAAAGACAGGUGUCUUGUGUAAAAAUCACCUUUCAAUUUUUGGAGGUGGAGGGAAGUAACUUUUUUUCUUUUGACAAAAGGUGAAAUCAGAGGUUGGCUAAGAUAGGCUGAUUAGAACUUGGUUAUCAUCUCAGUUGGCCUAGUACUUAGAAUUCAUUCUCUCUAAGCCAUCCCACUUCUCAUGGGGAACCUCUGUGCCUCCCCCUCACUCCCUCCAAGUCUAAGUUUUUUCGCCAUUAGUUGAAUAGUUAGAACUCCAGUUAGGACUUUAUUUGUGUGGGGGGAGGGGAGAUGACUUUAUCAGCAUUUGGGGAGAACCUAGGGCAUAAGAGAGUCUUCAGGUCAAUCUGGCAUCAAUAAACUGGGGACCUGUUUCCCAUUUUUACAGAGAAUUAACUGGGAAAGCUUUCUGAGGUGCGGCCUGUCAGAGGCAGUGAGUGAGGUAACAGGGAAGAGAUCACUGGGUUCAGGCCCCAUUUCUGCUAUUUACAAGCUUUGUGACCUCAGGCAAGUUAUUUAACCUCUCCUAGCCUCUAGGAGAUAAAGUAGCUCGGAGAGAGAACAGAGUUCUACCCAGCUCUUAAUUCCUGAGGUGACCUAUAAGUAUGUUUUUGGAAAAUGUAUGAAAAGGAAAUCUUAUGUAAUUAAUUAAUUAGUUGGUUAAUUAUGGCCUCGGUGUGCAGCAGCUUGAUGUGGGAUCUCAGUUCCCAGAUCAGGGGUUGAACCCAGGCUGCAGCAGUGAAAGCACCAAGUCCUAACCACUAGAACACCAAGAAACUUCCAGGAAAAUGUAUUUUAAAUUUGUUAGGACAGUUAUAUUUAAAGAAAACCCAUGUAUAGUGAGAAUCAUCAGUUGCCUAAUUUAUAAUCGUUCAGUCAAAAUGUAUACAUUGAAUUUUCUUUCCAAAAAAUUUUUUUUCUUUUUAUUGCUGCACCUGAGGCAUAUGGAAGUUCUUGGGCUAGGAGUCGAAUUGGAGCUGCAUCUGUGACCUUCGCCACAAUCACAGCAACAGCAACACCAGAGCCUAAUCCACUGAAAGAGUCCGAGGAUCGAACCCACAUCCUCAUGGACACUGUGUCAGAUUCUUAACCCACUGAGCCACAGCGGAAACCCUCAUGUUGAAAUUUCUUAAAGCGAGGUAUGUGGAAUAUGUGCUGUUAUUGUUUUAGCCUUGUGAGGGCUAGGGAACAGGACUUUUGUUCUGACUCUUAUAAUUUACAACUUGUUGAAUUCCCUUCCUGAUGUAUCUCCUCAUCCCCUUGCCUCCAGCCCCCAACCUCAGCAUCCUGUGAGUUUAUCUUUUGUAAUGCUUAUGUUCCCUUCCAUUUCUGUUUAUCCUUCCCAGAGGCUGGAAGCCAUGUCUUAUUCAUCUUUUCUUUCCCUAACUGUAAAACAUUGAGGGGAAGAAAAAUAGUAUGUGAGGAAAUAGCUAACAGCAGAGUCACAGAUUGCCCAGAUUUUAAUUCAGGGUAAUGAGAAAAUGUUGGUGUUAUAUAUAGAAAUACCUGAGGUGCUGGUUUGGGGGAGAGAUGCUGAGUAUAAUUUUGGGUAUGAUGAUGUCUGUGACAUUGACAGGACACUCAGGUAAACUGGUCAGUAGGCAGUUAGGAAGGGUGAAUUACACCCUGAAGCGUGGUUGGAGGAUCUGAGCAUCAUCUUCAUGAGGUUCAUCAGGGUGAAUCAGCUCUUCGGAAGGGAAAGUGAAAAAUGAAGCUCAUGGGAAUGCCUAUAUUUAGAGAAGCAGAGGAGAAAGACGAGUCAUCCAGGCUGCCGGAGGUGACUGGAGGAGGUGGACUUGUGGUGCUUGGCUACACAGCUUUUAUGGAGAUAAAUGCUUAAUGGUACAGAAGCUACAGAGAGGUUAGGAGAAUUAGAUGAGGGAAUACAGAUGAUUGGAUUAGUCAGUUCCAGUCCUGUGGCUGAAUCAGAGGCUACAUUAAAAAAUGAUGUGGGAGGAGUUCCUGCUAUGGUGCACUGGGUUAAGAACCUGACUGCAGCUGCUCAGAUCGAUGCAGAGGUGCAGUUUCAAUCCCCAGCCUGGUGCAGUGGCUUAAAGGAUCCGGCAUUGCCACAGCCUCUGGCUCAGACUCAGUCUCUGGCCCAGGAACUUCCAUAUACUGUGGGUGCGGCCAU